rnacentral:lncRNA from 1 species
ACAUUUCUGUGAGCUGUGGUGCAGGUCACAGACAUAGCUCAGAUCCUGUGUUGUUGUGGCUGUAGUGUAGGCUGGCAACUAUAGCUCCAAUUCGACCCCUAGCCUGGGAACUUCCACAUGCCACAGGUGCAUAUGGAAAAAAUAAAUGAGUAAAAAAUAAAUAAAUAAAUAAAUAAAAGAUCAAAACAAUAACAAGUUUGGUUAACUUUCCAGAGGCCAUUUGUCCUAGGGGUUUCCAAUAGCCAGGACUGCCCUGCAGCCUAUACUUGUCAUUAAUUUGGUCUGUGUCUUAAGAAUGGAUGGCCACAAAUAGAAAAGGCAGAGUCUAAAGACUUAUGGAAUGUGUGGUGUUGGAUACACCAAGGCUUUGGUGUGAGUAAUUGUGAGGCAGCAUGGAAGGUGCUCGUGGGGCCAGGCAUGAAAGAGAUGGGAGAACUCAUGUUCUGUGCUUGUAUUAUUUCAUCAUGGAAAAGCCAAUUUCUACUCCCAUUACAAUAUAGCUGACUCUGCAAGAUUUAGCAUCUUUAUCCUCUAUGGAUAACAUAGUAGUGAAUUUAAGCAAUCUUUCCUUAAUUAAUAAUGUAGCUGAUUAAGUUUAUUUGUUAUCUUUAUUCAUUUGUAGUGAAUGAAGAUAUUUGACUCUCUUUAAACAAACCUGAUACUGUGAGGCAAGCUGAUGCUGUGCUUUGCUUGGUGUGGUUGAGACGUCUCCGAGGGCAUGUCUUGACCCAUGCUGAGUGCAAAAACCAUCUAAUAAUGAGCAAGAUGAUAAUGGAGUUCUGAUGCAUGCACUUUAAGCCCCGUUGUUAUCAUCUUAUUUUCAUAAAUGAUCUUUGCAUUUUUUAAUGGAAAAAUGUGUAUAUAAAAAUUCACUUGUUGGGUUAGAAGGUGCUUAAAGAUAUUAUCCUUCUCUUCCUCUUCUUGUUCACAUUUUAUUGUACAUUUGCCUGAGGGCUCUUGAACAAGACCAUGUUUAUUAAUCCAAUAAAGAGGUCCAGGUAAUGUUGAUCGUUUACUCUUGACCUAUAAGAAAUAGGUAUUUAUUUUAUUGGUGUAAUGAAGUUUUAUAGUUUCAGAAUUUCUUCGCACUUUAAUUUCUCCCAGAGUUCAGGAUUUGCAGUUUCAAAAAGUAAAAACGUGUUGAUGCAAAUGCAUGCUCCCGGAGUCUUUGGCCUUUACGGAGCUUUUUGAAAUUCUCCUCCUGUUGGAGUUUUCAUUUUCUGGCCCACUAAAAGCUUUCUUGUUGGAAUUUGGCCUUAUCAAACACCACUCGAAAUAAACUGGCCAAUUGUUGGAUCAGAGGGAUCUUUUUAUCAUUUGGAGAUUGGAAUUAUCAUGGGUUAUAAUAAGAUUUGAACUGGAGACACAGGUGGAGAUGUGUUCUUUAUAGCUUUGUUGUAGUUCUGCCUGGAGGCAAGGUUAUAAACUAGAUAACCUCCUGGGGUUUCCUAUAACUCUAUGAUUUCACAAUACUAAUCUCCUUGAGUGAAUCUAACAUUUUUAUUCCUCCUUUGAAGAGACUACUACCUCGUGCUUUGAAAAUACAUUUCCCUUUGUUCUCGAAGGCAUCAGAAUAUGUUAUCAAAGAACAAAGUGGAGAUUUUCAGGAAAUUUGUGAGCAUGAGGUCUACUUCAUUCUUCUGAAAGGAAGUGGGAAGAUGGGACAGAUCUGUGCUUUCCCAACUUUAUUUUGGUUCAGUUCAAUUCCAAUAAACAAGAGCCUAGCGUCUGCUUAUUUAGCUGGCACCAUGAUACCAAAAAUGAGGAAACAGUCUUGUUUAUCACACAGGUUUGUUGUAAAGAUGAAAUGAGAUAAAAAAAAUAUGCACAGAAUUUGGCACAUAGGAAGCCCUCAAUAAAUAGUAGUUAUUCCUGGAGUUCCUGCUAUGGUGCAGUGAGUUAAGAAUCCAACUGCAGCAGCUCCAGUUGCUGCAGGGGUGUGGGUGUGAUCCUUGUCCUGUGCAGUGGGUUGAGGAUCCAGUGUUGCUGUUGCUGCAUCAUAGGUCACAGCUGCAGCUGGGAUUCAAUCCUUGGCCCAGGAACUUCCGUAUGCCACAAGUAUGGCUUAAAAAAAUAAAAAUUAAAAAAAGUAGUUAUUAUUGUUAAUAUUGGGAAGGAAGCACCUGGAUAGUUUGAAACACUUUGAAAUGUUACAUUUAGUUGAUGCCAAGUUCUCAGUAUCUACAGGGUAUUAUUCUGAACAGUCACACAUGGAAGGCAAUGCCAAGUCUCCAGUAUACCUGAGUUUGAGUCCUGCUUAUAUCUUCACUACAUGACUCAGUGCUGCUGAUCUUAUUUAGGACUGUCAGCUUUCUGAGUAAAGAAAGCAGCUUAUGGCAGGCUCACAUUCAUAGGUAACCACGGUUAUGAUUAUGACGUUCUGGGUGUUUUGGGCUAGAUCUUUCUCAAAAUGGAGCCUGAGCCAGAGACUUGCAUGUAGGGAGAUGGCUUAGGAAUUUAAGUCCAGGGAGUUGGAUGUAGGGGCUGGGAAAUGAAACUGGGAAGGAGGGAAAUUCAUAUUAAGUGACUGUGUCUUGGCCAAUGCUACAGGUGACACAGCCACGCUUGUCAGGACUUUUUAGAGAACCUUAUGAAAUGUGUUUCAAAAUUGUCUAAAAAGGGAAUUGUAUUAGUCAGGGUUGUAGAAGCAAUAGGGUAUAGAAGGAGAUUUAAUAUGAGUGAUUGGCUGAUGCGAUGAUGGAAGCUGAGAAGUCUCAUGAUCUGCUAUCUGCAAACUGGAGACCUUGGAAAGCCAAUGAUAUAAUUCUGAGUUCAAACACCUGAGCUGAUGAUGGUAACGUCCUAGUCUGAGGAUGAAGAAGUUGAGAUAAGAAGUCCUAGCUUGGGAGUCCCUAUUGUGGCGCAGUGGAAACAAAACUGACUAGUAUCCAUGAGGUUGCAGGUUCGAUCCCUGGCCUUGAUCAGUGUCUGUGACCGUGGUGUAGGCUGUCAGCUACAGCUCUGAUUAGACCCUUAGCCUGGGAACCUCCAUAUGCUGCAAGUGCAGCC